rnacentral:rRNA from 1 species
UACGUGGGGUGCGAGCGUUAAUCGGAAUUACUGGGCGUAAAGCGUGCGCAGGCGGCGCGUUAAGACAGGUGUGAAAGCCCCGAGCUUAACUUGGGAAUUGUGCUUGUGACUGGCGUGCUGGAGUGUGGCAGAGGGAGGUGGAAUUCCACGUGUAGCAGUGAAAUGCGUAGAGAUGUGGAGGAACACCGAUGGCGAAGGCAGCCUCCUGGGCCAGCACUGACGCUCAUGCACGAAAGCGUGGGGAGCAAACAGG